UCGGGGAUCGUCUAAUGGUAGGACACCUGGUUUUGGUCCAGGCAAUCGGGGUUCGAGCCCCUGUCCCCGAGCCA
rnacentral:tRNA from 3 species